UACAGAGGUCCCGAGCGUUGUUCGGAUUCAUUGGGCGUAAAGGGUGCGUAGGCGGCGGGGAAAGUCUGAUGUGAAAUCCUGGGGCUCAACCCUGGAACUGCAUUGGAUACUUCCUUGCUAGAGUACUGGAGAGGAAACUGGAAUUUACGGUGUAGCAGUGAAAUGCGUAGAGAUCGUAAGGAAGACCAGUGGCGAAGGCGGGUCUCUGGACAGUUCCUGACGCUGAGGCACGAAGGCCAGGGGAGCAAACGGG
rnacentral:rRNA from 1 species